GCUGGGCAAGUCACCAUUGCAAAAGUUCGUUCGAGUAGGAAAAGUAGUUUGAGUGCGGGAAAUUAAAGUUUCGGAUAGUUUUGCGAAAAAAGGAAGUGUUUUGGUGUAGGAGAAAGUUGGAUUUAUUGAAAGGUCAGCUCUGCACACCUGAUUCCAAGCGAACCUCCGACGAAUCUACCGUGCCUAGAUGCUAGUUUGUUCCUUGCUGCAAACCUAAGUUGCAAGCAACCAACAAUCCGCCACCGGUACCAGGAACCGUCACUGAGGGUGAUUUGUACCUGACGAGUGGAAAGGAGAAGAUAAGGAAGAGAGGAAGGAAGGGGUGAAGGAAGGAGUUUGGAAAGCGUAGAAGGAAGACCAAUUAAUUUUGAAGCUGCUACGUAAAGCUGCUGAUCAAAAAUUUGGUUGUUUUAAUUACCACCCGAACAAUCUUCAAAAUUAAUUG
rnacentral:lncRNA from 1 species